UUUUGCUUUGCAUCUAAACCUUCAGCAAGAUCAGCAUAGUACUCAAAACAUCCAGCAACAUCAUCUAUAUCCCAUGCUGCUUCAUCCAGUGGUUUUCCGCAAUCAAGUGCUUCAAGUUUUGCUAGUUCAGGUUUCCUCUCUGUUAUCUUAGCAGCAAUAGCACGCAAAUGCUUGGCACGAAAUGCACCAGAAGUGAAAGCCCAAUCUCGGCCUUUGUUCCGGGUAAAUGCUUUCCGGGCUGCUUCCACCGCUAGCUCCACAUCUUCUGCAGUAGCUGCAGGUAUAUCACCAAUGAUCUCCUCCGUAGAGGGGUUGAUGAUGGGGAUGCGUUUCUUGAGAAC
rnacentral:misc_RNA from 1 species